rnacentral:rRNA from 1 species
UUGAAAGAGGGUUAAAUAGUACGUGAAAUUGUUGAAAGGGAAGCGCUUGUGACCAGACUUGGGCGCGGCGGAUCAUCCGGGGUUCUCCCCGGUGCACUUCGCCGCGUCCAGGCCAGCAUCAGUUCGUCGCGGGGGAAAAAGGCUUCGGGAACGUGGCUCCCUCGGGAGUGUUAUAGCCCGUUGCGUAAUACCCUGCGGUGGACUGAGGACCGCGCAUCUGCAAGGAUGCUGGCGUAAUGGUCACCAGCGACCCGUCUUGAAACACGGACCAAGACGACGGGUCGUUG